GAUCACCAUCAAAUCGAAGCAGGCCAAGACGUCGGAAGCAGAAGAAGAACAAUAAGGCAUCAUAAGCCUUAGCCGCUGGAGAUGAUAGCGACACUGCAGCCGAGGAUGGAUGUUUUUUAAAAAACCAUAACACUUCUUGAUUUCUUUCAAAUCAUAUCUAAAUCCCUCUUCAUCUAUGUAACCCACUUUUGAAAUGGACAACUUAGCAGUAAAUCACUUCAUGGAACUGAAAGAAGAAGAAACCCAUAAGAAACUGGGAGACGGAGCAAAAGGGGCAGCAUGAACAGGAUGAAAUGACAGUGAAAUACUUGAUGAAGAGUUCAUGGAGGCUGAUUUUGAUUCUGAAGAACUUGAUUCUGACUCCAAAGUCAAGGUAUGUUUCUAGGUUUAUACGUAUGCAUGUGUGUGUUGUUAUGUACAUGUUUGCAUGAAUAGGUGUGAUAGCAUUUGAUUUUAUUCGAGGUUUGAAUUGUAGGAAUUGGAAGAUAUGAAGAAGAGAUUGCAGGAGAUUGGGAAAGAAGCAGGGACAAUGAGAUGUAUGCAGGGAGAAAAAGACUGUCGAGGCUCAAGGUCUUUUUAUUACUCACUCUAAGC
rnacentral:lncRNA from 1 species